GAUGAACGCUAGCUACAGGCUUAACACAUGCAAGUCGAGGGGAAACGACAUCGAAAGCUUGCUUUUGGUGGGCGUCGACCGGCGCACGGGUGAGUAACGCGUAUCCAACCUGCCCACCACUUGGGGAUAACCUUGCGAAAGUAAGACUAAUACCCAAUGAUAUCCCACGAAGGCAUCCGAAUGGGAUUAAAGAUUUAUCGGUGAUGGAUGGGGAUGCGUCUGAUUAGCUUGUUGGCGGGGUAACGGCCCACCAAGGCAACGAUCAGUAGGGGUUCUGAGAGGAAGGUCCCCCCACAUUGGAACUGAGACACGGUCCAAACUCCUACGGGAGGCAGCAGUGAGGAAUAUUGGUCAAUGGGCGCAAGCCUGAACCAGCCAAGUAGCGUGAGGGAAGACUGCCCUACGGGUUGUAAACCUCUUUUGUCGGGGAGUAACGUGCGGGACGCGUCCCGUAUUCGAGAGUACCCGAAGAAAAGCAAUUGGCUAACGUCCGUGCCAGCAGCC
rnacentral:rRNA from 1 species